CAACCCCUCUUUUCUCUCAAAUCCACAGCUAUUGUGAAAACUAAAAUCCAUAAUCUAUGUUAUCGGAAAACACUAUAAAGAUUGUUUUUUCCAAGAAUCUAACUUGGGGCAACUUACAACAUCACCAAGAGCUCCAAUAUGCUUAACAAGUGAGAAAUUGCAUCAAUUAUCUCAAAAUAUACAUAAAAUUCCAAUCUUUUUUUUCAAU
rnacentral:misc_RNA from 1 species